CUUACCGCUAUCAACGUAUUUUCUGGUGUUUUCACAGUGCUGCGCUUCCUAAUCCCCAUUCCAUGGCAAUCCACAUGCCAUGAUGCCCGGAGUCAUUAACAAAGGAGACACACAGGGGCUCCUCACGUUGGCUUUCCAGGGUUUUGAUGAAAAUCUGUUUCCUCGUCUCAUACAAUGUGGCUGUACAGGAAGCAUGGUGAUGGCAUCUGCAUGGCGCCUGUGGAGGCCCCAGGGAGCUUUUACUCAUGAUGGAAGGCACAGAGGGAGUAGGCACAUCACAUGGUCCGAGGAGGAGCAAGAGAAAAUGGGAGUGGGGCUCUUUGUCCUGGGAAGAGUUUGCUGCAUCUUCCAGUUUCAGUAAUCAAAGAAGCAAAGUUCCCUGCAGUUCUUCAAGGAACCUUGAGAAUUCAGAAGGUCUUGGGGUGGCUGCAUCCAUCCUGCAGACAAAUGCCAAUCAGCAGAGGGGCCAUUCCCAGGGACACAUGUCUGGCUGACUUGGGCCUUGGCCAGGUAAGACACACAGCAUGCAUGCCUGCAUUUCUGAAUGCCAUAGACCUGACAAGUCAUAAAAUAGCAACCAAUAAUUUUAUGUUAGAGUGCUCCCUUCCUCACAGAAAUCUCAGCAUAUGUGAAGAUAGGUUGGAAUGUGUAAAGAAAAGCUAAGAAAGCAGAUUUCUGAUAAGAACAGCGUGUGACUUGUACAGCAGCUCUGAAUUACAGCCCGUAGGAUGGAAUGCUGACAGUUCCUUCUUCCUUACCUGUGAUGGCUAGAAUUUUAUUUAGCACAUCGUUUUUGAGCCAAUCUCAAAAUGAGAAAACUUUUGAGGAAUUAUGCAUAGUG
ensembl:lncRNA FRG1-DT FRG1 divergent transcript